UCCCAAUCAGAGCAACCGCGGACACCCGCACAGCCCGGGCUGGAGCGGCAGGAUCAUGACAUCCAGUUUUUCCACAUCAAAUAUGGCAGGCACCUAUGUACAGUAAACUGUACACUCAUCACAAAAAUAGCAAGCAUUACCAAAAUGGAUCAAAGGAAUAGCUCCAGGACCAAAAGUAGUCAACAUUGCGCAAAGUGAAUUGCUGAGGACUGUAGACCACUUUUAGUGGUGGAAGAUAAAGAAGGCAGCGAUAUGAUUCAACUUUUCAACUGCCAUACAGAAACCAUUUAAAGCCAAUACCUGUCCUGUUCUGAAAAAAAGGAGCGCGACAUUUUGGGGACUCGUCCGGGAUAUGUGCAGCGUGGAUGUACUUCUUCCUGUUAAAGAAGUCACCGGCUGUCACAUGUCUCUUCUAAACUCUACCAUCAUCAGCAGCGUGGUGAACCAGAAACAGUGGUGUCCUGACUGUCAGUGAACAUGGAGAAAGCGAGCUGAGGUAUUUCUACAUACCAGGGGAGCUGCUCUCACAUUCUAAAGAUGCAAGUUUGGUGCCUGGAGACCGCAUCUGCAUUCUCUCCUUCUCCCCCUCUCCGUUCACAGCACCUCAAUUAUCUCAUUACCUCUGGUGUAUAUCAGCCUGCCUCUUUCCUGAGAUGCUCGCCAAAGUAUUGCAGAUCCUUCCAGUGGUACCUAGUGCUCCCCUGUGUUCCAGACCCAUGUCAUUUCUGCCACCAAGCCUGCCACCUGUUCAGUCCUCUGCCUGACAGCUAUCCACGUCACCACCUGUCAAUGUAUCCUGGAUACCUUUUCUUCAAUAAACUGUUAUCAUCUCAA